rnacentral:rRNA from 1 species
AGGGUUCGAUUCUGGCUCAGGAUGAACGCUAGCUACAGGCUUAACACAUGCAAGUCGAGGGGCAGCAUGUCGGUUGCUUGCAACCGACGAUGGCGACCGGCGCACGGGUGAGUAACGCGUAUCCAACCUACCCUUGUCCAUCGGAUAACCCGUCGAAAGGCGGCCUAACACGAUAUGCGGUUCUCAGCAGGCAUCUAACGAGAACGAAAUGUGAAGGAGAAGGAUGGGGAUGCGUCUGAUUAGCUUGUUGGCGGGGUAACGGCCCACCAAGGCGACGAUCAGUAGGGGUUCUGAGAGGAAGGUCCCCCACAUUGGAACUGAGACACGGUCCAA